rnacentral:pre_miRNA from 1 species
GAAGUACUCCCUCCGUCCGGAAAUACUUGUCAUCAAAAUGAAUAAAAGGGGAUGUAUCUAGAUGUAUUUUAGUUCUAGAUACAUCCCUUUUUGUCCAUUUUGAUGACAAGUAUUUUCGGACGGAGGGAGUAGGAG